GAUGAACGCUGGCGGCGUGCUUAACACAUGCAAGUCGAACGAUGAAGCCCAGCUUGCUGGGUGGAUUAGUGGCGAACGGGUGAGUAACACGUGAGUAACCUGCCCUUAACUCUGGGAUAAGCCUGGGAAACUGGGUCUAAUACCGGAUAGGAGCGUCCACCGCAUGGUGGGUGUUGGAAAGAUUUAUCGGUUUUGGAUGGACUCGCGGCCUAUCAGCUUGUUGGUGAGGUAAUGGCUCACCAAGGCGACGACGGGUAGCCGGCCUGAGAGGGUGACCGGCCACACUGGGACUGAGACACGGCCCAGACUCCUACGGGAGGCAGCAGUGGGGAAUAUUGCACAAUGGGCGCAAGCCUGAUGCAGCGACGCCGCGUGAGGGAUGACGGCCUUCGGGUUGUAAACCUCUUUCAGUAGGGAAAAAGCGAAAGUGACGGUACCUGCAGAAGAAGCACCGGCUAACUACGUG
rnacentral:rRNA from 1 species